rnacentral:tRNA from 1 species
GUACCUUUAGCUCAGUAGUUGGUUAGAGUAGACGGCUCAUAACCGUCCGGUUGUAAGUUCGAGUCCUACAAGGUAAA